CCUUCGAUAGCUCAGUUGGAAGAGCGUGGGACUGUAAUGGAUAACCUAAACCCUCGGGCAUCCCAAGGUCGCUGGUUCGAACCCGGCUCGAAGGA